rnacentral:rRNA from 1 species
GACGUAGGGCGCGAGCGUUGUCCGGAUUUAUUGGGCGUAAAGAGCUCGUAGGCGGCUUGUCGCGUCGUUCGUGAAAACCCGGGGCUCAACUCCGGGCUUGCGGGCGAUACGGGCAGGCUAGAGUUCGGUAGGGGAGACUGGAAUUCCUGGUGUAGCGGUGAAAUGCGUAGAUAUCUGGAGGAACACCGGUGGCGAAGGCGGCGUCCUGGACCAACACUGACACUGAGGAGCGAAAGCCAGGGGAGCAAACGGG